rnacentral:ribozyme from 13 species
UUCGGUUCAUUUUUUUUGCUUUCUUUUUCCUCUUUCUCAUUGUUGUCGGGAAUAUGGGUGAUAUCGGCUAGAAGACGAGGGGAGAGAAGAAGAGGAGGAAAAAGAAG